rnacentral:rRNA from 1 species
UUGCCUUAGUAGCGGCGAGUGAAGCGGCAAAAGCUCAAAUUUGAAAUCUGGCACCUUCGGUGUCCGAGUUGUAAUUUGAAGAUUGUAACCUUGGGGUUGGCUCUUGUCUAUGUUUCUUGGAACAGGACGUCACAGAGGGUGAGAAUCCCGUGCGAUGAGAUGCCCAAUCCUAUGUAAGGUGCUUUCGAAGAGUCGAGUUGUUUGGGAAUGCAGCUCUAAGUGGGUGGUAAAUUCCAUCUAAAGCUAAAUAUUGGCGAGAGACCGAUAGCGAACAAGUACAGUGAUGGAAAGAUGAAAAGAACUUUGAAAAGAGAGUGAAAAAGUACGUGAAAUUGUUGAAAGGGAAGGGUUUGAGAUCAGACUCGAUAUUUUGUGAGCCUUGCCUUCGUGGCGGGGUGACCCGCAGCUUAUCGGGCCAGCAUCGGUUUGGGCGGUAGGAUAAUGGCGUAGGAAUGUGACUUUGCUUCGGUGAAGUGUUAUAGCCUGCGUUGAUGCUGCCUGCCUAGACCGAGGACUGCGAUUUUAUCAAGGAUGCUGGCAUAAUGAUCCCAAACCGCCCGUCUUGAAACACGGAC